rnacentral:rRNA from 1 species
AUACGUAGGGUGCGAGCGUUGUCCGGAAUUACUGGGCGUAAAGAGCUCGUAGGUGGUUUGUCGCGUCGUCUGUGAAAUUCCGGGGCUUAACUCCGGGCGUGCAGGCGAUACGGGCAUAACUUGAGUACUGUAGGGGAGACUGGAAUUCCUGGUGUAGCGGUGAAAUGCGCAGAUAUCAGGAGGAACACCGGUGGCGAAGGCGGGUCUCUGGGCAGUAACUGACGCUGAGGAGCGAAAGCAUGGGUAGCGAACAGGAUGAGAUACCCUGGUAGUCCAUGCCGUAAACGGUGGGCGCUAGGUGUAGGGGUCUUCCACGACUUCUGUGCCGUAGCUAACGCAUUAAGCGCCCCGCCUGGGGAGUACGGCCGCAAGGCUAAAACUCAAAUGAAUUGACGGGG